rnacentral:rRNA from 1 species
CCUACGGGUGGCAGCAGUGAGGAAUAUUGGUCAAUGGGCGAGAGCCUGAACCAGCCAAGUCGCGUGAAGGAUGACGGCCCUACGGGUUGUAAACUUCUUUUGUCAGGGAGCAAGUGGGGCCACGCGUGGGCUUAGCGAGAGGACCUGAAGAAAAAGCAACGGCUAACUCCGUGCCAGCAGCCGAGGUAAGACGGAGGAUGCGAGCGUUAGCCGGAUUGAUUGGGUUGAAAGGGUGCGUAGGCGGAAUAUCAAGUCAGCGGUAAAAAUUCGGGGCUCAACCCCGUCGUGCCGUUGAAACUGCUGUUCUUGAGUGGGCGAGAAGUAUGCGGAAUGCGUGUUGUAGCGGU